CCCAGACUGGGGAUCAAACUUGCAACCUUGAUGUAUGUGGACAACGCUCUAACCAACUGAGCUACCCAGCCAGGGCACAAAAACUUUUUUUCUGACUCAAAAGCCAAAUACAUUUUAUUUAUUACAACUGGAUGAUAAAAUGUCAAGUCUUUUUUAACCUAUAGCUUUUCUUUCCAUCCCUCUUUUUUACAGUUUUACUACCUGAAGUUUAUUUUUUGAAGAAAUGCAACUGUUUGGUUAUAGUUUCCCAUAAUCUGAUUUUGCUAAUUAUAGCCUCAUGAUGUUGUUCAACAAGUUUGUUUGGUUUUCUUUAAAUCAAACCAGAAGUGUAUCUGAACAGGGUUUGACUUUUCUUUUUGGAAUGGAGCAUGGGUGUAUGAAGGGUGAGAAGACUGCAUAGGUGGGCACAUAAUGCCUGUGCCUUUUUGCGUGUGUGUGAUGUUGGCAACCUUUUGAUCACUGGAUACAUUCAUUCUUUCAGUAGGGGCUGCAAGAUGGUGAUCAUGUUAUUCUGUUGUUCGUUCCUUCUUCCAAAAGAGAAACUUUCAUUAUUUGCCUUAAGGUGUAGUACAUCUAGAAAGGGCAAGAUAAAUGAUUGGUUCUUUACCUAGCAUCCUUCAAAGGUGAUCAUGGGGUUUUGUUUGUUUUAGUUUUAUUCUUGAACUCACAGCUUUAAACAUGCUUCAGUCUAUUACUAAUAUUCUAAUAAUGCUCAAAUUAUCUUUUUUUUGCCUGUAGGAGUCUCUUUAUGUAGGUUCCUGAGAUCUUUUAACAUGACUCAGAAUUUUUGUUAACAGAUUUCUUUCUUGCUAAUGAAAAGAUAUUCUAGGUUUAUUUUGUAAGAUUCCCCUUCCCCGACCCCUACCCUGAGUUAGCAAUUUCUUGUAGGAGCUUAUUCCUUUCGGUGGGAAAUGUUACUUAGAAACCAUAAUCUUGUUGCUAGGCAAUACUUACUGCUUUGGGGUAGAUCAUUGUUUUGAAAUCUUUUUAGUGUAAAGGGCUGUGUAUCUUUAUGUUAUCUUAAGGGUAAAAUGCAUAAUGACUUCAUCUUAACUCUUUCAAUGCAAAUUUAGAACUCUAUGGCUUUUACAUAAUAUCACACCUUCACUUAAAUCACACAUUUGUAUUUUCAUUUACUAUGCUAAAAAUCCUGGUUCCUAAUGAUACCAACAUUGAACAUUCUCAAAAUGGAAUAGGUCAGACACACGCUGUUUCUGGUAGGUAAAGUUUGGCGUCUACAUUUUACACAGGUGAUUCUGAUGCUUACCAACAUACAAAUGUUCUAAACUAUCUUAAGUUGUCAAUGUUUAAACUGUGCCUCCCAUUUUCUUCUAAGAAUUCCCCUUUUCUUUCUUGAUUGGCCAUAUUCUUGUUGAGUCACCUAUGUAGCAUUGGAAAAUUUUUUUCUUGUUUAACUCGGUACUCUACCCAUGUAAUAGAAAAGACUACAGUUAUUUCACUCCUGUGAAAGUGAGGCUGCAGUUCUCUUUGACGCUUACUUGGAAUGCUAAAAUAGUGGAUAACCUCACAACUAAGGCUCUGCCUGAGGCCAGAGAGGGGAAUCCUCUCUGCUUUAAGCAGAAUGCCUGGUAAUGGAGUAGAUUUGCUUUAGGGCAAUUCUGCAUUUGAUAAAAUAUCAGAGCAAUUUAUGU